UCGUAUAACUAUUGUAAUUCUAGAAAAGGCUGUUGUAAGCGCAAUAAUAUAUGCUCUUAAAAAAUUAUACAUGUAAGCGCCUGAAUACGCACUAAAACCGAUAAAAUAUGCAAAAAAUAAUACUAAACGCGAUACCGGAAUGGUAUCUAGAGACUAUACAAACGAAAUACGUGUUGUAAUACAUUAUAAGGGUUUCCUAAUCGAUACGAUUGUUAUACUGAGUUGCAGCGGACGCAAACAGAAAUAAAUGAACGUGUAGAUAUUCAAGAUUGUUUAAAUUAUUCUUGUCGUUGAGUAAUAUUUUGAAGCUUACGGUAUUGAAAAAACGUUGAGCAUACGAAAACGAAAAAAUAGUGCUUGAAUGGUACGGAAA